GGGACGAUGCCCGAGGGGUUAAAGGGAACGGAUUGUAAAUCCGUUGACUGUGUCUACGCUGGUUCGAAUCUAGCUCGUCCCA
rnacentral:tRNA from 1 species